GUUUUUGACAUUGUUAAGAUUAUGCAACGUGCCAAAAUAUAGGGUGGCUCAGCACGCUGGUCAUAUUCAGCAAAUUUUCUCCCAGGACCGCAGGUUCAUAUUGUCAGUGGACUUGCGGUGUAAAAUUGAAACUUUUGCAUUUUUCAGAGAACUGGCCACUUUCUGUAUUAGAUGCCCGCUGUCAAUACGAACCCGCACGAGUGGGAGAAAUUUUGCUAAAUUUGACCAACAUGCAGCCCCCAAGUCAACAUGAAAUUUCAACGAGGGGGCUCAGCCCCCCUGAGCCCUCCCUCCAGUACACCACUUGGCCUAUCUUCUAAGCAAGGAAUUUUUUUUUGCACUAUGCCUGGAAAGUUUUUUUUUUCUUAAUUUUUUUCUGGGAAUAAAUUUUCUUUUUGGUUUUGCCCCACCCCCCAUCACUUUUCUAAUGGUCCGCCCCUAAAUAGCUGGCUGUUGGCUGUAUAGAAACUUCAAAUAAUGUGUGCAUGAAACUUUUAUUUCUUG